UUCUUAGACCUGUGCAAUGCUAUUUUUAAGCACCGCUUCAGGGUGGGAACACAGCAGAGCACUUGAUUUUAGUGUGUGCCGCAGU
rnacentral:SRP_RNA from 1 species